rnacentral:rRNA from 1 species
UCAGCAGCCGCGGUAAUACAUAGGGGCGAGCGUAUCCGGAAUUAUUGGGCGUAAAGGGUGCGUAGGCGGUUUAAUAAGUCUCUAGUUUAAUUUCAACGCUUAACGUUGUCCUGCUAGAGAAACUGUUUAACUAGAGUGAGAUAGAGGUAAGCGGAAUUCCAUGUGUAGCGGUAAAAUGUGUAAAUAUAUGGAGGAACACCAGAGGCGUAGGCGGCUUACUGGGUCUUUACUGACGCUGAUGCACGAAAGCGUGGGGAGCAAACAGGAUUAGAUACCCUGGUAGUCCACGCCGUAAACUAUGAGUACUAAGUGUCGGGGUUAAACUCGGUACUGAAGUUAACACAUUAAGUACUCCGCCUGAGUAGUACGUACGCAAGUAUGAAACUUAAAGGAAUUGACGGGAUCCCGCACAAGCGGUGGAUCAUGUUGUUUAAUUCGAAGAUACACGAAAAACCUUACCAGGUCUUGACAUACUCUGCAAAGCUAUAGAAAUAUAGUGGAGGUUAUCAGGGAUACAGGUGGUGCAUGGUUGUCGUCAGCUCGUGUCGUGAGAUGUUAGGUUAAGUUCUAAAACGAGCGCAACCCCUGUCGUUAAUUGCCAGCACGUUAUGGUGGGGACUUUAGCGAGACUGCCAAUGAAAAAUUGGAGGAAGGUGGGGAUUACGUCAAAUCAUCAUGCCCCUUAUGAUCUGGGCUACAAACGUGAUACAAUGGCUAUUACAAAGAGUAGCUGAAACGCGAGUUUUCGGCAAAUCUCAAAAAAAUAGUCUCAGUUCGGAUUGAAGUCUGCAACUCGACUUCAUGAAGUUGGAAUCGCUAGUAAUCGCGAAUCAGCAUGUCGCGGUGAAUACGUUCUCGGGGUUUGUACACACCGCCCGUCAAACCACGAAAGUGGACAAUACCCGAAAGCGACAGCCUAACUGCGUAAGC